GCCAGCAGCCAUAUCACCCUGCAACUCAACAACAGGCAACCCACUGAAGCUAAGCAGGUGUGAGCCUGGUCAGUACCUGGAUGGGAAAUCUCCUUGGAAAAAACUAAGGUUGCUGCUGGAA
rnacentral:rRNA from 1 species